rnacentral:tRNA from 1 species
AAGAUUCUAGUAAAAACGAUAUUACACUGCUUUGUCGAGGCAGAGUUGUAGGUUAAACCCCUGCGUAUCUUG